rnacentral:rRNA from 1 species
AUGGCAGGUCUCCUCAUGCUAGAGAUGCUUCCACUGCCAUGGUUUCUGUUCCUCUUCCCGCUCUUCCUCUUGUUUGUGAAUUAUUGGUUCACUAUGACUGGUAAGACAGGAAGAAGGCAGCAGCACGAAAACCGCCACCAGCCUUCUCCACCGGGACUGCCCAUCAUUGGGCACCUGCACCUCCUCGGCUCCCUCCCGCACGUCUCCCUCCGCAGCCUCGCCAAGAAGCAUGGUCCUGACGUCAUGUUCCUCCGUCUUGGAGCCGUGCCGACACUUGUUGUGUCAUCCCCGCGUGCCGCAAAGGCGGUUCUGCGCACGCACGACCAUGUCUUCGCCUCGCGGCCCCGCUCCAUGGUCUCGGAAACCCUCAUGUAUGGCUCGUCCGACAUCGCCUUUGCACCAUAUGACGAGCACUGGCGCCAGGCGAGGAAGCUCGUCACCACUCACAUGUUGAGUUUAAAAAAGGUGCAAUCUUCCCGCAACGCCGCCAUGGAGGAGGUGAACAUGGUGAUGACCAAGAUUAACGAGGCCGCUGCAGGAGGUGUUGUAGUGGACAUGAGUAGGCUUCUGAAGUCAUUCACGUAUGAUAUGGCAUGUCGGAUCGUGUUGGGAGAGUCCUUCCGGAAAGAAGGACAGAGCAAGCUACUUCGAGACCUCAUAGACGAUACCUCACGAAUAUUAGGAGGUUUCAACUUGGAGGAGUACUUCCCAACAUUGGCAAGAGUUGGAGUGCUUAAGAGUCUGGUUUGUGCAAAGGCUGAGAGAGUGAGGCGUAGAUGGGCCUAUUUGCUGGAUAAGUUGAUCGAUGAACGUGUGAGCAUGGACAAGUCAACAGUUGAUAACAAGGAUGGAGAUUUCAUAGAUAUUUUGUUGUCUGUUCAGCAUGAGUAUGGUCUCACAAGAGAGCGAAUGAAAGCUCUCCUAACAGAUGUAUUUUUCGGUUCAACAGACACGUUAUCUAACACUCUCGAAUUCACCUUGGCCGAGUUGAUGAGGAAGCCAUGCCUAUUGGGGAAGCUACAAGAUGAAGUGAGGAGUAUCGUACCCCGGGGACAAGAAAGUAUAACCGAAACCGACAUAAACAAGAUGACGUACUUAAGAGCAGUCAUGAAGGAGUCACUCCGGGUGUAUCCUGUUGCGCCUAUCCUUGCUCCACACCUUGCCAUGGCUGACUGCAACAUUGAUGGGUAUAUGGUUGCUGCUGGCACACAUGUCUUAGUCAAUGUAUGGGCCAUUGGCAGGGACUCCAGCUCUUGGGGGGAUGCAGAAGAGUUCAUACCUGAAAGAUUUAUAUAUGAAGAUAGUGAUGUGGAUGUCAAUUUCAAGGGGAAUGAUUUCCAGUUCUUGCCAUUUGGGUCAGGACGAAGGAUGUGCCCUGGCAUAAACCUCGCGACUGCCAAUUUUGAGCUUAUGUUGGCAAACCUCAUGUACCAUUUUGAAUGGGAAUUGCCUCCAGGGAUUGAGACGAAAGACAUUAAUAUGACAGUGGUCUUUGGGCUAACCGUGCGGCGGAAGGAGAAGCUACUAUUAAUUCCAAAAUCAUACAAGUAG